rnacentral:rRNA from 1 species
UACGGAGGAUGCGAGCGUUAUCCGGAUUUAUUGGGUUUAAAGGGUGCGCAGGCGGCGUGUCAAGUCAGCGGUAAAAUGUCGGGGCUCAACCCCGGCCGGCCGUUGAAACUGGCAGUCUCGAGUUGGAGAGAAGUAUGCGGAAUGCGCGGUGUAGCGGUGAAAUGCAUAGAUAUCACGCAGAACGCCGAUUGCGAAGGCAGCUUACCGGCGCUCAACUGACGCUGAGGCACGAAAGUGCGGGUAUCGAACAGG